UACGGGGGGAGCAAGCGUUGUUCGGAAUUACUGGGCGUAAAGGGCGCGUAGGCGGUUCGUUAAGUCCUGUGUGGAAUCCCCCGGCUCAACUGGGGAACUGCACAGGAAACUAGCGGGCUUGAGUUCGGGAGAGGGAAGCGGAAUUCCGGGUGUAGCGGUGAAAUGCGUAGAUAUCCGGAGGAACACCGGUGGCGAAGGCGGCUUCCUGGACCGACACUGACGCUGAGGCGCGAAAGCUAGGGGAGCAAACGGG
rnacentral:rRNA from 1 species